rnacentral:rRNA from 1 species
AGGACCGAACCAGAGAACGUUGAAAAGUUGCUGGAUGACGUGUGGCUAGGGGUGAAAGGCCAAUCAAACUCGGAGAUAGCUGGUUCUCCGCGAAAUCUAUUUAGGUAGAGCGUCAUCCGAAUACCCCGGGGGGUAGAGCACUGGAUGGGUAAUGGGGCCCCACAGGCUUACUGAUCCUAACCAAACUCCGAAUACCCGGGAGUACUAGAUGGCAGACACACGGCGGAUGCUAACGUCCGUCGUGGAGAGGGAAACAACCCUGACCUACAGCUAAGGCCCCCAAUUCAUGGCUAAGUGGGAAAGCAGGUGGGACGACCAAAACAACCAGGAGGUUGGCUUAGAAGCAGCCAUCCUUUAAAGAUAGCGUAACAGCUCACUGGUCUAAACAAGUUGUCCUGCGGCGAAGAUGUAACGGGGCUCAAGCCAUGAGCCGAAGCUGAGGAUGCACAUAGUGCAUGGUAGCGGAGCGU